UACGAAGGGUGCAAGCGUUGUUCGGAAUUACUGGGCGUAAAGCGCGCGUAGGCGGGCUUGUAAGUCGAUUGUGAAAGCCCUGGGCUUAACCUGGGAAUGGCAGUCGAAACUGCAAGUCUUGAAUGUCUGAGAGGAUGGCGGAAUUCCCGGUGUAGUAGUGAAAUACGUAGAUAUCGGGAAGAACACCUGAGGCGAAGGCGGCUAUCUGGCGGCACAUUGACGCUGAUGCGCGAAAGCGUGGGGAGCAAACAGG
rnacentral:rRNA from 1 species